rnacentral:rRNA from 1 species
AACGGACGCUGGCGGCAGGCUUAACACAUGCAAGUCGAGCGCCCCGCAAGGGGAGCGGCAGACGGGUGAGUAACGCGUGGGAAUCUACCCAUCUCUACGGAAUAACGCAUGGAAACGUGUGCUAAUACCGUAUACGUCCUUCGGGAGAAAGAUUUAUCGGAGAUGGAUGAGCCCGCGUUGGAUUAGCUAGUUGGUGGGGUAAAGGCCUACCAAGGCGACGAUCCAUAGCUGGUCUGAGAGGAUGAUCAGCCACACUGGGACUGAGACACGGCCCAGACUCCUACGGGAGGCAGCAGUGGGGAAUAUUGGACAAUGGGCGCAAGCCUGAUCGAGCCAUGCCGCGUGAGUGAUGAAGGCCCUAGGGUUGUAAAGCUCUUUCACCGGUGAAGAUAAUGACGGUAACCGGAGAAGAAGCCCCGGCUAACUUCGUGCCAGCCGCCGCAGUAAAAC